AGUAAAUCUUCGAUGAAAUCCGUAAUGAAGGUGACCCUUCUCUUUUGUUACUCUCGAGCUUUUAUAAAGUAGCAACCAGUGGAAGCAUUUAUUUAUUUAUUGCUAAGAUGAGUUCAAUGCUUCACCUGUUUGUUGAUAGGAGGGCUGUUUACCAUGGACAAGCUCAUGGCUUGCACCUCACCCUGUGAACAAAGACUACUAUAAAGCACCCGGAGAGGAAGCUGCUCCAAUGGUUUACGGAGCUUUUAAAACAAAAGGACCAAGUAUCGAUGGCGGGGAACACCACAAAACAUAAAUAAACAUAAGAUCGGAUCGAGUGGAUGUAAAAGAGGAUCGAGCGGAUCAAAUAAAUGUGCGAGAUAAGUGCAAGAGAUUUCAGGUGCAAGAUGUUACUGGAGUCUCGAGAGUACCCAGCUGUCCCAACUUGGCUCAACUUUUUAAAGGCUUCGUACGGUUAGAAUAUGGUAUAGUGUCGGAUUCCAGCGUAUAUAUUCUAAUUUAAUACUGUAAAUAUCUUUCUAUUAUAUUUACUUUUUGAACCAUAUCUUAUUUUCACAUACUUAGGCUUCUCUUGUUCCUUUCCAUGCUUGUUCCAUCCUUGUGCUUCAUUUUUCCAUUGCCUUUGGAGUUUGCCGUUGCUCUCCUUUGAUUACCAUUUCUAAGUUCAUCUUCAUCCAAUCUUGCCUAUCUUUUGGGACUUGAGAUCCACUGUUUGUAGGCAUAGUCUACCAGCCAUCCGACUAGAUAUCAUCUUCCGUAUGCCACAAAAAUAGCGCCAACCAGCUGUUCGUUGGAUUGUUUCUGCGCAACCAGCUGCUUGCUAUUGCAAGUGCUAUACCAAUCAGCUAUUCAUUGGCUAUCUUCUUGCGACUAGCAACCUGCUGAUAUAUCCCUACAAAACCAUCUGCUUGCUGUUACAGCCCGCCAACUGUUUGGCAAUAUAUCUUAUUUGCCUUGCAAAGAUCACCUCACUGCAAUCAGAUUUAGCACUCUUGGGGAUUGUUAAUGUUGCGUGGCUUGGUUGAGUUAUGGCCUCGAGUUCUCGGCCCUCGCACCAUAUUUUGGAUUGUCUCGAUCGGCCUCAGAGUACAAGUUUGGAGCCCAAGCUUCUCUGGGCAUUUAUACCAUUGUUUGGACAGGUUGUCUUUUGCAUCCCAAUGUUUCUAUUAGAACCAACAUUUUUUCUGUUUAUAUGGAUUUGAUAGUGGAUGAACCACCAGACUUAAAGCUACACCUUAAUCCAAGUGCAGCUUUAAAUGUGAAAAGUCAAAAUAAUCACAAGCAACUCAGUCCGCAAAGGAGAUAAAGCUAAACUCUCUCAUAAGCAGGGUGAAGAAGGAACCAUCAAGGCAGUAUUCCAUUGAGGGCAGUAUGCAUGCUCCCCUCAGGAUUUUCUGAAAAAUGUCAUGAUCUCAACUAUUUGAGCUUUUAAAUUUUAAA